GCUGUGGUGGGCUCCACCCAGUUCGAGCUUCCCAGCUGCUUUGUUUAUCUAAGCAAGCCUGGGCAAUGGUGGGCGCCCCUCCUCCAGCCUCGCUGCCGCCUUGCAGUUUGAUCUCAGACUGCUGUGCUAGCAAUCAGUGGGACUCCGUGGGCGUAGGACCCUCCGAGCCAGGUGUGGGAUAUAAUCUUGUGGUGCGCCAUUUUUUAAGCCUGUCGGAAAAGCGCAGUAUUGGGGUGGGAGUGACGCGAUUUUCUUGGAGCCGUCCGUCACCCCUUUCUUUGACUAGGAAAGGGAACUCCCUGACCCCUUGCGCUUCCCGAGUGAGGCAAUGCCUCGCCCUGCUUCGGCUGGCGCACGGUGGGCACACCCACUGACCUGCGCCCACUGUCUGGCACUCCCUAGUGAGAUGAACCCGUUACCUCAGAUGGAAAUGCAGAAAUCACCCGUCUUCUGAGUCGCUCACGCUGGGAGCUGUAGACCGGAGCUGUUCCUAUUUGGCCAUCUUGGCUCCUCAAAUAAGUUGUCUGUUUCUUUGAAAUCUCCCAAGGGGUUUGUGAAGGUACAUUUCAGAAGAUUUCGAAGUCCUGAGCGCUUAGCCGUGCAGGAACAAUGUUAUGAAGACCAGAAAUCUAAAAUAAAGGUGUUGGCAAGACCAUGUCCUCUCUGCAGCCUCUUGGGAAGAAUCCUUCCUUGCCUCCUCCUCUUCUGGUGGUUCUCAUUAUUCCUUGGCUUAUGGCAGAAAUUUCUGUUGGAUGGCACUGAUGUGGACGCUUAACAGAGGCCAAAAGCACAAGCAGAAUGAGCCAAGAACACAUCGGUGAUCAGAGCAAUGCAUGUACA
rnacentral:lncRNA from 10 species